UGAGAGGCGGCCUGCUGGUCUGCUGGAGCGCUGCUUCCGGAUACAGAGUCCUCUGUACGGCAGGGACACGGACCCGAUGGAGUGUGUACAGAGGAGGGACACAAAAAUGAUCUAAGGGAUGGAAUACCUGCACUGCGAGGACAGGCUGAGGGAGCCGGGGCUGUUCAGCCCGGAGAUGAGAAGGCUCUGGAGAGACCUGAUAGCGGCCUGUCAGUAUCUAACGGGGCUGUAAGAAGGGGACAGACUGCUUGUCACGGUCUGUUGCGACAGGACAAGGGGAAAUCGUUUCAAAACAAAAGAGAGGAGAUUUAGAGUGGAAAUAAGGAAAAAAUGUUUUAGAACAAGGGUAGUGAAGCAGUGGAACAGAAGUCAGAGCCACCACAGCUGUAGUGCUGCCACAGCAGUAGCUGAAGGGAAUGUGCAUGGGGCAGGAGGGAGAGGAGUCAAACACAGCCUUGCAUGAUACAGCACAGCAUCUUUCAGCUGCACGCCUGGUAACGUGAGCGAAGCCUCGUAUGUUCAGUUCCUGCAGACUUGAGGCUGGCAAUCUUCCAGCAGUGGCCAGCGUAGCAGAUGCACCAGAAGCAUCAUUUUUUGUGCCAUUAUUUCUUUGAACAUUGGAAUAAAAGAAAUAAAACCUGUCCCAUUGCUGCUACUCCUGUCUUGGAGCUGCUCAUCCUUGCACAAAAUAAAUAUUUUUUUCCCUUUGUAAUGAAUCCUGUUUUACAUCAGCCCAUCCUAGGAGUGCUUUCUGUCUUGUCUCCCCAAAUACUGUAUACAAGGCACAGUCUGACCAGAGGAGAGGACAUCAUUGCUUAAGCCUGAAGACUGGAAGUAGUGAAGCUGCCAAGCUGUAAUGUGGUGGCAUGAAAGGAUCUCACUGUGAUGGUGAAGAAGGUCUGCUGUCCGAGAGGUGGAUGUCCCAGAACUGUGGCAGAGAAAUUCUCCUUCUGAGUAAGACUGAUGUAACCAGGGAGUAUCCUUUGCAGCUACCUCUGGCAGAGAGAUGAUGAAGGCACAGUGGGUCAUGGUCUCUUCUGCAUCGAGCAACUGCUGUGCAAUUGUCAGAAAAAGAAAUACAUCAAACAAUCAGGACUUUAUAAAGGUCAGUUCCGGAGCUUACACAAAUCAGUGCUACAAACAGC
ensembl:lncRNA